AGCGGCGGACGGGGUGAGUAACACGUGGGUAACCUGCCCAUAAGACUGGGAUAACUCCGGGAAACCGGGGCUAAUACCGGAUAACAUUUUGAACCGCAUGGUUCGAAAUUGAAAGGCGGCUUCGGCUGUCACUUAUGGAUGGACCCGCGUCGCAUUAGCUAGUUGGUGAGGUAACGGCUCACCAAGGCAACGAUGCGUAGCCGACCUGAGAGGGUGAUCGGCCACACUGGGACUGAGACACGGCCCAGACUCCUACGGGAGGCAGCAGUAGGGAAUCUUCCGCAAUGGACGAAAGUCUGACGGAGCAACGCCGCGUGAGUGAUGAAGGCUUUCGGGUCGUAAAACUCUGUUGUUAGGGAAGAACAAGUGCUA
rnacentral:rRNA from 1 species